rnacentral:rRNA from 1 species
AGAGUUUGAUCAUGGCUCAGAUUGAACGCUGGCGGCAGGCCUAACACAUGCAAGUCGAGCGGUAGCACAGAGAGCUUGCUCUCGGGUGACGAGCGGCGGACGGGUGAGUAAUGUCUGGGAAACUGCCUGAUGGAGGGGGAUAACUACUGGAAACGGUAGCUAAUACCGCAUAAUGUCGCAAGACCAAAGUGGGGGACCUUCGGGCCUCAUGCCAUCAGAUGUGCCCAGAUGGGAUUAGCUAGUAGGUGGGGUAAUGGCUCACCUAGGCGACGAUCCCUAGCUGGUCUGAGAGGAUGACCAGCCACACUGGAACUGAGACACGGUCCAGACUCCUACGGGAGGCAGCAGUGGGGAAUAUUGCACAAUGGGCGCAAGCCUGAUGCAGCCAUGCCGCGUGUGUGAAGAAGGCCUUCGGGUUGUAAAGCACUUUCAGCGGGGAGGAAGGCGGUGAGGUUAAUAACCUCAUCGAUUGACGUUACCCGCAGAAGAAGCACCGGCUAACUCCGUGCCAGCAGCCGCGGUAAUACGGAGGGUGCAAGCGUUAAUCGGAAUUACUGGGCGUAAAGCGCACGCAGGCGGUCUGUCAAGUCGGAUGUGAAAUCCCCGGGCUCAACCUGGGAACUGCAUUCGAAACUGGCAGGCUAGAGUCUUGUAGAGGGGGGUAGAAUUCCAGGUGUAGCGGUGAAAUGCGUAGAGAUCUGGAGGAAUACCGGUGGCGAAGGCGGCCCCCUGGACAAAGACUGACGCUCAGGUGCGAAAGCGUGGGGAGCAAACAGGAUUAGAUACCCUGGUAGUCCACGCCGUAAACGAUGUCGAUUUGGAGGUUGUGCCCUUGAGGUGUGGCUUCCGGAGCUAACGCGUUAAAUCGACCGCCUGGGGAGUACGGCCGCAAGGUUAAAACUCAAAUGAAUUGACGGGGGCCCGCACAAGCGGUGGAGCAUGUGGUUUAAUUCGAUGCAACGCGAAGAACCUUACCUGGUCUUGACAUCCACAGAACUUUCCAGAGAUGGAUUGGUGCCUUCGGGAACUGUGAGACAGGUGCUGCAUGGCUGUCGUCAGCUCGUGUUGUGAAAUGUUGGGUUAAGUCCCGCAACGAGCGCAACCCUUAUCCUUUGUUGCCAGCGGUCCGGCCGGGAACUCAAAGGAGACUGCCAGUGAUAAACUGGAGGAAGGUGGGGAUGACGUCAAGUCAUCAUGGCCCUUACGACCAGGGCUACACACGUGCUACAAUGGCAUAUACAAAGAGAAGCGACCUCGCGAGAGCAAGCGGACCUCAUAAAGUAUGUCGUAGUCCGGAUUGGAGUCUGCAACUCGACUCCAUGAAGUCGGAAUCGCUAGUAAUCGUAGAUCAGAAUGCUACGGUGAAUACGUUCCCGGGCCUUGUACACACCGCCCGUCACACCAUGGGAGUGGGUUGCAAAAGAAGUAGGUAGCUUAACCUUCGGGAGGGCGCUUACCACUUUGUGAUUCAUGACUGGGGUGAAGUCGUAACAAGGUAACCGUAGGGGAACCUGCGGUUGGAUCACCU